ensembl:snoRNA SNORD83 Small nucleolar RNA SNORD83
GCCACAUGAUGAUGGUGUAGAUUACAGUAGCACCCUGUGCAAAGAUGACCACCCAUCUAUCACCCUAGGCUGAUGGCU